rnacentral:rRNA from 1 species
UGGGGAAUAUUGCACAAUGGGCGCAAGCCUGAUGCAGCCAUGCCGCGUGUGUGAAGAAGGCCUUCGGGUUGUAAAGCACUUUCAGCGGGGAGGAAGGCGAUAAGGUUAAUAACCUUGUCGAUUGACGUUACCCGCAGAAGAAGCACCGGCUAACUCCGUGCCAGCAGCCGCGGUAAUACGGAGGGUGCAAGCGUUAAUCGGAAUUACUGGGCGUAAAGCGCACGCAGGCGGUCUGUCAAGUCGGAUGUGAAAUCCCCGGGCUCAACCUGGGAGCUGCAUUCGAAACUGGCAGGCUAGAGUCUUGUAGAGGGGGGUAGAAUUCCAGGUGUAGCGGUGAAAUGCGUAGAGAUCUGGAGGAAUACCGGUGGCGAAGGCGGCCCCCUGGACAAAGACUGACGCUCAGGUGCGAAAGCGUGGGGAGCAAACAGG